rnacentral:rRNA from 1 species
GACGAACGCUGGCGGCGUGCCUAAUACAUGCAAGUCGAGCGGACCGAACGAGGGCUUGCUCUUGUUUGGUCAGCGGCGGACGGGUGAGUAACACGUGGGCAACCUGCCCGCAAGACCGGGAUAACUCCGGGAAACCGGAGCUAAUACCGGAUAACACCGAAGACCGCAUGGUCUUCGGUUGAAAGGCGGCCUUUGGGCUGUCACUUGCGGAUGGGCCCGCGGCGCAUUAGCUAGUUGGUAAGGUAACGGCUCACCAAGGCGACGAUGCGUAGCCGGCCUGAGAGGGUGACCGGCCACACUGGGACUGAGACACGGCCCAGACUCCUACGGGAGGCAGCAGUAGGGAAUCUUCCGCAAUGGGCGAAAGCCUGACGGAGCGACGCCGCGUGAGCGAAGAAGGCCUUCGGGUCGUAAAGCUCUGUUGUGAGGGACGAAGGAGCGCCGUUUGAAGAAGGCGGCGCGGUGACGGUACCUCACGAGAAAGCCCCGGCUAACUACGUGCCAGCCGCCGCGGUAA